AGCGACGACGGUGUUCCCUUCUCCUGUCAAGAUAACUUUACCCUGUAGCUUGAACUCGGAUAUGCUGACUUAUUAACACAAAUUCCCUAUUUGUGUCACUCUUUUGGUCGAUCUGUGGUCUCGCAUUUGCAAGUUUUCACUAUGAAAUAAUGAAAGACACGACUAGUGAACAGUUUUUCACACCGUCGCCUAGCUGCAGCCCCCCAGGGUUCCUCAAUGACGCUGUCUCUGUUGAGGCUCCAAUUUGUGAAGAAGCAAACAGCGGGAUGGAGGUAAAGCAGAUAACUUUGCACCAGAGGUCUUUGGAAAUAAAACAACACAGCAAGAAGGAUGGUGUUUUAACUGCCGAGAUGGUCUCCAGCUGUGUCUCCAACCUUGGCCGCUUCAGCACUGGGCUGCAGCACUCAUACCACCACCUCUCUCUGCCUAGUCAAAAUCUCAGUGACAUCUCCAUUUUAUGCAACUACAUCUAUCUCCAAAAGCUGGAACUGCCGCACAACAAAAUCAAAGAUUUAUCCUGUGUGAGCCACAUGCCCUACCUUGUCAUCCUGGAUAUUUCUCAUAAUGAAAUCUCCAACUUCUUUGGAUUCCAGCCACCCAAGAAUCUUAAGGAAGUAAAUUUUUCCCACAACCGUCUGACAAAACUGAAAGAUUUGUCAGCCUACUCAUCUCUUACUAAACUGGAUCUGGACUACAACUGUCUUAGUGAGAUAUUUGGUCUGGAGCAAUGUUGCCAGCUCACCCAUCUUAGCCUGGCGCACAACAAGAUCUCAAGGAUCAGUGGACUGGAAGCUCUGCCUCUCACACACCUUUGCUUGAGGGGAAACCAGCUGGAGAGGAUAGAAGGGUUUGAGAGUCUGAAGAGUCUGCAGGUUCUUGACCUGUCUAUGAACUGUAUCACCAGUCUGUCUGGCCUCCAGAAUCUCCACCUGCUUGGCUCAAUCAAUCUGGAGAAAAAUCUGAUUAGUGAAAUCCAGGAGUGCAAACACAUUCAUGACCUUUUCCUCCUGAGGGAACUCAACCUGCAGGGAAACCCUGUUCAGGAGCAACCAGGUUAUAGACUAGCGGUCGUCUUCCUCCUUCAACAUCUGACUGUGCUGGACCAAAUGAAAGUCACAGUUGAAGAAAAGGUGUCAUCAGUAAACAAGUAUGACCCUCCUUUGGACGUGGUGGCAGCCAGAGACCACAUGAUCCACCUGGUGUAUCAGCUGAUGCAGCCUCAGGUGCUCUAUGACAGCACUUUGCCCAGUGUAGACUCCCCAUACCCCAUGCUGGUUCUGACUGGUCCUCAAGGCUGUGGGAAGAGAGAGCUUGCCCACAGACUGUGCCAGGAGUUCAGCGAAUACUUUGCCUAUGGAACCUGUCACACCACAAGGAGGCCCUACUUUGGAGAGGAGAAUGGAAUUGAUUACCAUUUUUUCAGUGAGGAAGAUUUUCAGAACAUGAUACACAUGGGUAAGUUUAUCCAGACCAUGCAGCACGGGGGUCACAGGUAUGGUCUGACCAGAGACGCCAUAGAGGAUGUAGCCAGAGAAGGACUCGCCUGCUGUGUGCAUAUGGAGCUAGAGGGGGUGUUCAGUCUGAAGAAAAGCUGCUUCGAGCCUCGAUACAUCCUGCUCAUACCCACCAAGGUGGAGAAAUACAUGGACCAGCUUAAAAGCCGUGAUCUUUAUACCCAAGCACAGAUUGAUAUGGCUGUGUCACGUAUAGAGCUCUAUGCCAAUACCAACAGGCAAAGGCCUGGAUUCUUCGACAAUGUUAUCCCCAGUGAUGACUGUGAAGAAGCCUUUCAGUCCCUGAAGCAGAUUGUGAAGGAGUACCUGUUGCUAGAGGAGCUGGAUGAUGGGGAAAACAGAGCAUCUCCUGACAACACCUCAGUGGGUCACGAGCCAGAGGAAAAGCUACUUUCACCCCUGUCAAGGUCUACACCACACUCAGCCAUGGCUCUUGAUCCAUCACAUUUGUCCUACAGGAACUAUUUCACCAAGAUCCAGGCAGAGCUCAGCCCACAGAAGAGCCCGGCAGAGCUAGCCUCCAUCGCAAGGCGAGAGCAGCUGGUGAGAGAGGCUAUAGUGGGGAAGAGUCCAGGGGUCUACAGCCAGCUCUUCAAAAGGUUUGUUAUAAGUAGCACACACUCCACUGCACUCCAAGGCUUGAUUUCAAGUAGAUACUCUCUGAUAGGCCAAAUAGGUUUAAUUGGUGCUUUUGUCCUAACUGCCUUUUGAUGGUUUAUUUUGGGUUGUUGUUGACCUUGAGGGUGAAGUGGCAGGUGCCCAAAUAAUUUGAUUCUUAACUGUUUGUUAAUAAGAAGUGCUUGUGCAGUGUCUCUCUUCUAAAACAAACCAUACUCCAGUCAUUAUUACAACACAUCUGAAUGAAUGCUUGAAUUUGUUGUUUUUAAUUUUCAGUUCUGCUCAAACAGCACCAUCACAAUCCCAGAAUCAGGAUCCUGGUACCCGUGUGAGUGAAGACAGCAGCAGCUCGGACGAGUCUCGUGCUAGUUCUGCACGAUCCGUGCCCAGUUCAGCUGGGGCCUUGUCCAAUCUAGUGGAGCCACUAGAUAUCUCUGUCCUGGGUCAAGCCUUGGAAACACCCAAAGGUCAAACUGCUGAAGACCUCCCUCCUGGCACAGAUCAGAUGGAUUUGGUCGUGUCUCCGUCUUCUGACAGACGUCCUGGUUCCAAUGCUUUGCCCAUCCUGCCACCAAUCCCUACUGGACGCAAGACCCCUGCAGCAUCCAGCCCUGCUCCUUCACCCAGACCCAGCCCAAACCCAUCAGUAGGAGAGGGAAGCAUGCAGACAAAGAUGGCUAGCACUGAAUCUGAAAUCUAAAAAUAUGUACAAAUUGAAAGUUACUGCUUGUUGAAGAAUAAAUGUUAUCCACAUUAAGAUAAAGUAAGAAGUAGCCAAUCAAUCAGUCAUACUCUUUCUAGGUUCGAUUUCACUGUCAGCUCUUGCCUUUCCUGUGAUCUGUCUGUCUUGUAUCAACAUGUCUGGUUCUCUUUACUAUAUCUACCUGGCAAGUGAUGGCCUUAAUAGUCAUAUAUACGGUGACUAUAAGGUAUAAUUACAGGAAAAGCGUUUCCUCUGUGUAGAAGACUGGCAUACUGGCCAUAAAGUAUACAUUGUUGAUAAAGACUAUCAUUUGCAGACUGAUUGACGAGGAUGUCUUUCAGUUAUGAUGAAUAAAAGCGUGUUGAACAAAA